CACUCACUUACAGCCUCGAGAUUUGAAGUCUUCUCCUAUUUUACACGACAUGCGCGCCUGGCUGGAGGAGAGGGUUUGAUACGCAUGCGUGAGUUACUCCCACCCACAACACAACGUGCAUGAUCUUGUUAUAGCCAUUUGGGUCCUGUCUAAGAAGGCUCCCCCUUCAAUUAUUUUGUUUUUAUUUGACUGAAAACAAAUCCGAGCAGCUCCUAGAAUGGCUUGCAGACAUUUAAUGCAAAUCAAUGGAGUGAAAAAAAAAAA